rnacentral:rRNA from 1 species
UACGAAGGGGGCUAGCGUUGUUCGGAAUUACUGGGCGUAAAGCGUGCGCAGGCGGCCAUCCAAGUCAGGGGUGAAAGCCCAGAGCUCAACUCUGGAACUGCCCUUGAAACUGUAUGGCUUGAGUAUGAGAGAGGUGAGUGGAAUUCCCAGUGUAGAGGUGAAAUUCGUAGAUAUUGGGAAGAACACCGGUGGCGAAGGCGGCUCACUGGCUCAUUACUGACGCUCAGGCGCGACAGCGUGGGGAUCAAACAGG